UACAGAGGUCUCAAGCGUUGUUCGGAAUUACUGGGCGUAAAGGGCGCGUAGGCGGUCUUGUAAGUCUUGUGUGAAAUCCCUCGGCUUAACUGAGGAACUGCACGAGAUACUGCUCGACUUGAGUUCGGGAGAGGGAAGCGGAAUUCCGGGUGUAGCGGUGAAAUGCGUAGAUAUCGGGAGGAACACCGGUGGCGAAGGCGGCGAUCUGGGUCGAUACUGACGCUGAGGUGCGAAAGCGUGGGGAGCAAACAGG
rnacentral:rRNA from 1 species